rnacentral:misc_RNA from 1 species
CAUCCAUCGGACUGUGCGUGUGCCCAGUCCGCAUCGGGCUCUCUCGCCUCCCCCGUACGGGCGGAGGCGGAGCCUCAGAGUAGAUCGUGCGGAGUUUGCGACGACUCAACUCUUGGACCUAAACAGUCUGGGUUGGCCUGUCUGCGGGCCGUACGGAUCGCGGCGCCAGUGCUCUCUGUUCCGCCUGGUGUGCCGGCUAUUUCUACUU